rnacentral:lncRNA from 1 species
GGAAGCAAUUCGCCGAAAUAUUUUCCGUAUACCAAAUGACCUUAGCGUGAAUCUCUCGUAAAAAUCCGUCGAUCGCAAUAAGCAUUGAUCUGUCACUGAAAUAAUCUAUAAUCUGAUUGCUCAUGUUUAACACGUGCUCAAUAUCCAUGAUUUUUUGUUGAUUGCUUACUAUGAGGUGACAAUCGGUAAACUUCGGAGUCAAAACACGG